rnacentral:lncRNA from 1 species
CAGAAAGCUGCUCCUGAACUAACUCUUUCGUGUCCUUGUAAAGCAUCAGAAAGCAGGAUAGCAUAGGCUAGAACAAAGGCCCUGGGCAAUGACACUUUCAGAGCAGCAAACCUUGCUGGGGUCACUGCUUAGGCUUGAAUGCUGCUUGGAGCUUGCGUGUACGGAGGAAAAUUGCAAGAGGGGAGAGAUUACUGUACCUACUCUGUGACUGACAUGUGAGGAAAACAGUGCAUAGCAUUUCCGUGUUUACAGAUGGCAGAGAACUCUGAAGAUGCCCACCCUUCAAAUGCACAGCCAACAUGGAGUGAGUGGAUGAGAAAUACUGAGUCCCCUGGAAAAAGAUGUGUGUGACUGGACCCAUUUUCAACAAUUCUUUAACUCAUUCAAAUCCCCAGUGCACUUGAAAAUACAUUUCAAUAUGUACAGAGUUCCCUCUGAACUGUGUACAUUAUUAAAGAACACAACAACAAAUCACCUGUUUAUCAUAAAAUAGUUCAUGUAAAAACAAGAAUAUAUAAGCUUGUCACAUUCUCUACCAAAGAACUUUGAUCAUCUGUUUUUCUUCAUCUGUUUAUUUAUAUACUUUUGUGAAAGUCAUUCAGAAAUUUCACAUAGUAAUGGAAAUAUCAUUUUCAUUUUUAAAAUAUGUAUAAAGACUGUCUUUGUAAUUUCCUUAGUUGAAAUAUAAAGUGCGAUAAUUAAUGUGACCACUCAGAAUGGCCUUUUUCUGGAGAAGGGAAAUGUGGAGAAACUUCUAGUUUCUUGGAAGUUUUCAAU